rnacentral:rRNA from 1 species
ACUAUGGAGACAUAGCUAAUUCCUCAUACGUCCUACAAAAUGAAAAUAUGUAGGAGAAAGAUUUAUCGCUCAAGGAGGGGGAUGCGUCCUAUCAGGUAGUUGGUGAGGUAACGGCUCACCAAGCCUAUGACGGGUAGCCGGUCUGAGAGGAUGUCCGGCCGCAAUGGAACUGAGAAACGGUCCAUACUCCUACGGGAGGCAGCAGUGGGGAAUAUUGGACAAUGGGCGAAAGCCUGAUCCAGCGAUUCUGCGUGAAGGAUGAAGCCUCGUGGGGUGUAAACUUCUUUUCUGGGAGAAGACGAAUGACGGUAUCUCAGGAAUAAGAGACGGCUAACUACGUGCCAGCAGCCGCGGUAAUA